rnacentral:lncRNA from 1 species
ACGUCGUCGUGGGAGAAGCAGAGGCGCUGGUCGGCGGCUUCUGCGCGGCGGCGGGAGGAGGGGCAGCGCCGACGGAGAAGAACACGCGCGGCGCUGGUGCCGGCGCCGGUUGCGCUUCCGCCUCCCCCUCCUGCGCCCUGUCGCUUGGCCUCCCCUUCUUCUUCUUCGCCGUUGUCUUCUUCUCCGCAUCCAGCCCGACCCCGUUCGCCGCGGCCGCUGCCGCCACGGCGACGGGAUCGGGCUCGGGGUCCGCGGCGGCGGAGGAGAGGAGGAGGGGGUCGCGGGCGGUGGAGAGGAGGGUGAGGAGGGAGGCGACGGUGAAGAAUAAGGCGACGGUCCGCCUUUUUUUUUCGGCGAGAAAAAAAAAAAAAAGAACGACAGAAACAAAGAGGAGAGAGAAAGAGGAAAGAGAAAAAGUAAUAAGGGUAUUUUGGUCAGUUUGCUGAAAAAGCGGACCGAAUCUGCAGAAACGAAAAAGGUGACCCGGUUUUGCAAAAGCCCAAAAUAAGUGAAUUUUUUAUGCAAAAAGGCCUUAAUACUAUAAAGUAAAUUACCUAUAUAUUUAUAAAUAAAAUAUUAUACAUAAUAUUUUAUUUAUAUAAAAAUAAAAUAUUCUAU